rnacentral:lncRNA from 1 species
AUGGGGGCGGGGGGCAAUCUCUCUAGCUCGCGGGAUUCCGGAGAGAGAGACGGUGGCGGCCGCCGGGAAGGGAAAAGUUCCCCACCCUGCCCUGCAGAGGGUCUGAGAGCUCCAGUGAAGAGCAAACCACAAAGCCGAAGUUUAGGAAGUGGGAAAGCCACUGGCGUCGGGGGAGGCAGCGCGAGUCGCCGGAGAUGGCCCGGGACGCACCUCCUGGCCGCCUCCGAGGCGCAAACCCGGAGCUUUGCGCUCGGGCGCCGAACGGCCCAGCGCCCCCUCUGGGCACGUGGAGCGCAGCCCGGGCGCAGCCCCCGGGGACCAACUACCCCCCUCACCACGCCCGGCGCAGCUGCUCCUGCUCAGCCCGGACAGCUCCCUUUAGGACGGCGACGUGUGUGUGGUGUUCGUGUGUGUGUGUGUGUGUGUGUGUGUGUGCGCGCGCGCGCGCGCGCGCCGCGGGGAGGGGGGGGGGCACCAAUUUACCCGGCGAUCUGUUUUCCAGUACCCUCGCGCGCUCUUACCGCGCGCUUGUACCAGCUUAGAGACGUCCUAAAUUUCCCAACUUUGCUCCGCGACUACCCUGGCCUUUCUCCCCUCGCCGCCCCCAUCUCUUUGAGUCUACCGGGUGUUGGCGGGACAACCACACAGUCUGGAGGUCGUGCCCCCAGACUCCGCCGGGGCAGCGACGAACAACCCCCCUCGAUCCAGCUGGGUUUGGGGGAGCUCCAGGCUUGUUUUCGCUGCUUCCCUGGUGGACAAAUCAUACGCACCCGCACACGCACCCGCACCCUCCCCAGCGUGACUGGAAGGAGGUCCUCGCCGCACCCAGGGCCCGCUUCUCAAGCUGAGGCUGGGUCCGGAAGAACUUGUGGAGAGGGAGAAGCAGCCCCCUGCCUCCCUCGGCACUCUUCUCCGCCCCCAACUUCGGACCUGGGUCGGGAACGACUUGGAAGAAGAAUCUGCGCCCACCCCCUAGAGAAAAAUCUAUUAUUAUUAUCUUAA